UUUUAUAUAGUUUAAUUAAAAAUUUAAUAAUUUCAUUAUUGAGAUAAAUAGAUUUUAUAAAAU
rnacentral:tRNA from 1 species